CUGGAUUUACCCUCUCAUCAAGUCAGGGUGGCCAUUCCUACCAAGGGUGUUCUGGAUGCUUUAGAAAGGGGAUUGGACGUUGGACCCACCGCAGGCAAUAGGGCCACCUAUCUGUACACGUCCUUUCUCUAGUGCAUGCACUUCCCAAAUAUCCCUCUCCCCAUGGCCAGAGCAUCCGAGAAUGUCCUGGCGCAUCCUUCGCCACAUAUGUCCCCAGUCCUGGGGGACAGCAUCCUCUGGGUCCUCUGUGGGGAGUGGUGAGUGGCAGAGUGGCUGCCGUGGGAGAUUCACCUGUUUUUUUCUGACGUAUUUGAGUUCUUCCCUCUACAUUCUAUGCAGCGGGCUUUCUGUCCUCUGACUUCCCUGGCCUGGGUGAGUUUCAGAUCCAUGCUAACCAGAUUCUUAGGCCACAUCCAACCCUGUGGGCCUGGCCGUGGGACGCAGGGGCUCUAUAAAUGCACGCAUAUCGACGCAUUCCAUUCGAUCUUCAAUAACGGACUCCCUCCUCUGUUAAGCGCUCCCAAAAUGUCAUUCCCACAGAAAUCACCCAGAUGUUGAACAGCAGAGUAUGAAAUUCCUGCGUUCCUCUCCAGCCACCCUGGGUCACGCAGGGAUCUGAUCCAAGGAAUUGGACCUGAGGGGCAAAUGCAGCUUCUGUGGGACUGGAUCCGAGGCAGGAGAACUUGGGCUUUGGAACUGGCUAUUCCUCCAGGAUGCAGGGGCAGAGGUGGCCCGUGUGCAAGACAGAAGGAUGGAGCCGAUGUACAGAGAGGAUCUGACCUGUGCCCUGGCUGGCUCGAAGGCUCCAUCUUUUGGGAGGAGACUGAAAACUGCUUCAGAAAGAUGCCAAGAGAAAGAACAAGAUCAUUUUCACCUUCUGACAUGAAAAACAGGAUGACGCAGCCAGGUGCCAGGCUUGCAGGCCAGGCUGUGGUCUGGAGACAGGAUCUUUCCACUUCCGUCUUUCCUCCUCCCUCACCUCUUUAAGUCCAGGACUGACUCUGCAGGGACCUCCUGUCUUGCACCCCCUCCAUGCAAGCCCCGAGCCUCGAGGCUGGAUGCUGGGUGGUAGGAAAGGGCUGUGAUUUGUGGAAAGUGCAGGAAACAUCUGCCUUGUUCUGGACCCAGGGGACUGUGGGAAGGAAAGGGGGAGGGAGGAGAGUGGAGCCAGCUGAUGUGUGUCCCAGAUGUUCCGUCUUUGGGCUUUUGGGCAAAGUGAGGGGGCCCUGGGAGGGACAGUCAGUGAGGUAUGAGACUCUGGCUCUGGGGGACACUGCCUGGAAGGCUGCCCUCCACUGCCUGGGGCACUGUCCUAUCAGCAUCUGCUGGAGUGACUGCCAGUGAAGCCAGGCAGAGGCUCUUCCCUUCCCAGUGCGGCCUGGAGGAAAGCGAACAGGCCUGCCCUGGGUGCGAGGGGUGACAGGGUAAGGCGACCUCAUAGCAAAUGCCAGGGGUCAAGGGCUGGCCAGGGGUCAGAGGGAUGGUGGGGCAGAGUCUCAUGGCCCACAGCCAGCGAGAUCCGGGUCGGCGAUGGCGACACCGUUUACUUGCCAGACUUCAGGCACACCUGGGGAAAGGUGCACGGGGGCACCACCUUGGUGGCCAGUUGAUGCCACCCAAGGACCAGCAUAGGGCCAAAGAUCACCCGAGGUCACCUGCCUCCUCCACAAAGAUGCCGUCUUAGGCAGAGAAGGUGGUUGGGAGAAAGCUUUCAUAUUCAAAUGAGAUUCCUGUUAUCCACCCAUAGAUAACCAGCUUAAAGCAGGGUAGGGCUAAAAGCUAAUAUUUUCCCCCAACCAGAUAAUCUGCUAUAAACAAAUAAAUUGCAUCUUCCAGCGGGGUUGCAUUGUGAGAUCCAGGACACAGGUGUUGUGGGGAGUUUUGACAUGCAGGGAAGUGACCCCCACAUGCAGCUGCAAAGUCCUUGGGGCUCCCCCAAGAAGGCGGGCCAGACACUUGGCAGGGACGAGGUGGGAGGCAGCUCACGGCUCGGGAAUCUCCAGGGCAUGGGCUCGCACAGGUGGGAAGCACCUGUGGGCGGCUCUCAAGCCCCCAUCUCAUUGGUGCCCACGGUGGGCGUCUCCCCACCUUCCAGCUCGGGCUCCUCGCGAAGCGCCUGUUGGAGCACAGUCCCC
rnacentral:lncRNA from 10 species